UAACACGUGGGUAACCUGCCCAUAAGAGGGGGAUAACAUCCGGAAACGGGUGCUAAUACCGCAUAGUUUUCUUGGUCGCAUGAUUGAGAAAGGAAAGACGGCCUUUGUGCUGUCGCUUAUGGAUGGACCCGCGGCGUAUUAGUUAGUUGGUGAGGUAACGGCUCACCAAGACGAUGAUACGUAGCCGACCUGAGAGGGUGAUCGGCCACAUUGGGACUGAGACACGGCCCAAACUCCUACGGGAGGCAGCAGUAGGGAAUCUUCCGCAAUGGACGAAAGUCUGACGGAGCAACGCCGCGUGAGUGAAGAAGGUUUUCGGAUCGUAAAACUCUGUUGUCAGAGAAGAACAAGUCGGAGAGUAACUGCUCCGGCCUUGACGGUAUCUGACCAGAAAGCCACGGCUAACUACGUGCCAGCAGCCGCGGUAAUACGUAGGUGGCAAGCGUUGUCCGGAUUUAUUGGGCGUAAAGCGAGCGCAGGCGGUUCCUUAAGUCUGAUGUGAAAGCCCACGG
rnacentral:rRNA from 1 species